UACAGAGGGUGCGAGCGUUAAUCGGAAUUACUGGGCGUAAAGCGCACGUAGGCGGCUUGGUAUGUCGGGUGUGAAAGCCCUGGGCUCAACCUGGGAACGGCAUUGGAAACUGGCUUACUAGAGUGCGGUAGAGGGGUGUGGAAUUCCCGGUGUAGCAGUGAAAUGCGUAGAUAUCGGGAGGAACAUCUGUGGCGAAGGCGACACCCUGGACCAGCACUGACACUGAGGCACGAAAGCGUGGGGAGCAAACAGG
rnacentral:rRNA from 1 species